rnacentral:rRNA from 1 species
UACGUAGGGUCCGAGCGUUGUCCGGAAUUACUGGGCGUAAAGAGCUCGUAGGUGGUUUGUCGCGUUGUUCGUGAAAACUCACAGCUUAACUGUGGGCGUGCGGGCGAUACGGGCAGACUGGAGUACUGCAGGGGAGACUGGAAUUCCUGGUGUAGCGGUGGAAUGCGCAGAUAUCAGGAGGAACACCGGUGGCGAAGGCGGGUCUCUGGGCAGUAACUGACGCUGAGGCACGAAGGCCAGGGGAGCAAACGGG